GCCGGGCGCGGUGGUGCGUGCCUGUAGUCCCAGCUGCUCGGGAGGCUGAGGUGGGAGGAUCGCUUGAGCCCAGGAGUUCUGGGCUGUAUCGCGCUAUGCCGAUCGGGUGUCUGCACUAAGUUUGACAUCAAUAUGGUGACCCCCUGGGAGCGGGGGACCACCAGGUUGCCUAAGGAGGGGUAAACCAGCCCAGGUCGGAACGGAGUAGGUCAAAACUCCUGUGCUGAUCAGUAGUGGGAUCGCACCUGUGAAUAGCCACUGCACUCCAUCCUGGGCAACAUAGCGAGACCCUGUCUCU
rnacentral:SRP_RNA from 1 species